rnacentral:rRNA from 1 species
UCCCGAACCCGGAAGUUAAGCCUUUCAGCGCCGAUGGUACUGCAACCGAGAGGUUGUGGGAGAGUAGGACGCCGCCGGAC